rnacentral:rRNA from 1 species
GGCGUAAAGGGCUCGCAGGCGGUUUCUUAAGUCUGAUGUGAAAGCCCCCGGCUCAACCGGGGAGGGUCAUUGGAAACUGGGAAACUUGAGUGCACAAGAGGAGAGUGGAAUUCCACGUGUAGCGGUGAAAUGCGUAGAGAUGUGGAGGAACACCAGUGGCGAAGGCGACUCUCUGGUCUGUAACUGACGCUGAGGAGCGAAAGCGUGGGGAGCGAACAGGAUUAGAUACCCUGGUAGUCCACGCCGUAAACGAUGAGUGCUAAGUGUUAGGGGGUUUCCGCCCCUUAGUGCUGCAGCUAACGCAUUAAGCACUCCGCCUGGGGAGUACGGUCGCAAGACUGAAACUCAAAGGAAUUGACGGGGGCCCGCACAAGCGGUGGAGCAUGUGGUUUAAUUCGAAGCAACGCGAAGAACCUUACCAGGUCUUGACAUCCUCUGACAACCCUAGAGAUAGGGCUUUCCCUUCGGGGACAGAGUGACAGGUGGUGCAUGGUUGUCGUCAGCUCGUGUCGUGAGAUGUUGGGUUAAGUCCCGCAACGAGCGCAACCCUUGAUCUUAGUUGCCAGCAUUCAGUUGGGCACUCUAAGGUGACUGCCGGUGACAAACCGGAGGAAGGUGGGGAUGACGUCAAAUCAUCAUGCCCCUUAUGACCUGGGCUACACACGUGCUACAAUGGACAGAACAAAGGGCUGCAAGACCGCAAGGUUUAGCCAAUCCCAUAAAUCUGUUCUCAGUUCGGAUCGCAGUCUGCAACUCGACUGCGUGAAGCUGGAAUCGCUAGUAAUCGCGGAUCAGCAUGCCGCGGUGAAUACGUUCC